rnacentral:rRNA from 1 species
AGCAGCCGCGGUAAUUCCAGCUCCAAUAGCGUAUAUUAAAGUUGUUGCAGUUAAAAAGCUCGUAGUUGAAUUUCGGGGUUAGUAGGUUGGUCGUGCCUCUGGUAUGUACUGGUCUCACUGAUUCCUCCUUCCUGAUGAGCCGUAAUGCCAUUAAUUUGGUGUUGCAGGGAAUCUGGACUGUUACUUUGAAAAAAUUAGAGUGUUUAAAGCAGGCUAACGCUUGAAUACAUUAGCAUGGAAUAAUGAAAUAGGACGUUCGAUCCUAUUUUGUUGGUUUCUAGGAUUGACGUAAUGAUUAAUAGGGAUAGUUGGGGGCAUUAGUAUUCAAUUGUCAGAGGUGAAAUUCUUGGAUUUAUUGAAGACUAACUACUGCGAAAGCAUUUGCCAAGGAUGUUUUCAUUAAUCAAGAACGAAAGUUAGGGGAUCGAAGACGAUCAGAUACCGUCGUAG